rnacentral:rRNA from 1 species
CAAUAUGAAGGCCAGGCUGAAGACUUUGCCGGAUUAGCUGAGAGGUGGUGCAUGGCCGUCGUCAGUUCGUACUGUGAAGCAUCCUGUUAAGUCAGGCAACGAGCGAGACCCACGCCCACAGUUGCCAGCGUACUCUCUGGAGUGACGGGUACACUGUGGGGACCGCCGCUGCUAAAGCGGAGGAAGGAAUGGGCAACGGUAGGUCAGUAUGCCCCGAAUAUCCCGGGCUACACGCGAGCUACAAUGGUUGGUACAAUGGGUAUCUACCCCGAAAGGGGACGGGAAUCUCCUAAAACCAAUCUUAGUUCGGAUUGAGGGCUGCAACUCGCCCUCAUGAAGCUGGAAUCCGUAGUAAUCGCGUUUCAACAGAACGCGGUGAAUACGUCCCUGCUCCUU